UAUUCCUCAGCGAAUCCUUCUCCGCCACGCACACCAGCACCUUCUCGCACGCCAUCUUUGGCAGGUCCGGGUCGACCGCUGGGUUCAGCCUUGGGUCGUCGUCGAGCCUGGAGCUCGUCGGGCACAUGAACUUGUACAUCUCGUCCAUCUCUGUGCCACCAAAGAAUGGGUGGACUAUCAACACGCCCUUGAUCCUGACCCUCGUCAAUCCGGCUGCACCUGCUCGGACCGCCACGUAUUGGCUUAUGUUGGCUCCGGCGCUCUCCCCCUGUAUGAAGAUCCGCCCGAGAUCAGCAUACCGGUUCAGCCAUGGUUCUGGGCCGGAUCCGUCGGAGUGACCUGCGAUCCACUUUAGGGCUUCGAAUGAGUCCUCGUAAGCAAUGGGCAGUGGGUAUUCUGGGGCCAACCUUCAAUUACCGGAAGUAAUUAUAAAUUGUGUUUAAACACGGAUAUAACUAUACAUAUCAUAUUCCUAUGAUUAGAAUAUCACCCGGUAAAAUUCAACGAAGGUUAGUAAGCUUUAAUUAAAUUUGCGAUACAAGUUAUUGGAUUUUGAUCUGAAUUACCCAACAUACCGCAUUCCCUUAUAUUUAUAUAUAUACAAUUGAUACAUUUUGUCAGGAUCGCAACCAAUAUUUCAACAAAAUGCUAAUGUAGUGGACACAUGACAAUGACAUUGCAUCUAAAAUUGGCCAUGUUUCCGCAAUGUCAGCACUAACAAUGGAAAAUGAGCCCUAAAAAUUAGCCAGAUUCUGAUCAAAGUGCAUCCAUCGAAAAAAUAUGAAAACUUAGUAAAUUUAGUGAUUAAAAUCAAAGUUUAAUGAAUUGAUUGCAGAAUUUACUAUAUCUUUAUGACCAUCCAUGACAUUUACCCCACCAUUUCCUGGGCCAAUCGCGAUUGAUAAUUACAUCUUUCCCCAACACAAACUUUUACUUCUGCAACUAGUCGUUACAAGGUAGAAAAAUAAAAAAUAUCUAGGAUUUGAGAUGCGUUUUCAGGCAGAUAUUUGCAUGUGUUGAAUUUAUAACAAUGCCUAUGAAAGUUACCUAAAACCAGCUUAGACUGAUAAAAAAUAUCUACUUCAAAACAUCUAAUGAAUUUUAAUCUUUAUGAAUGAAUAUAAAGAAUUAAUAUCACAAAAAAGCUCAAACUUCUACUUGAUGAUUUAUUUAGUUCAAACUAAUUUUCGUAUAAAAAAAGUACCAAAUUGAUAUCCUCAUAAAACAUUUACUUCAAAUAAAUUUUUGUCUCAUAAAAAUUUCAAAUUGGUAUUCCAUGAAAAAUAUAUUCAAAAUAAUUUAUGUCUCAUAAAAAAACCCCAAACUAGUACUCUCAAUCCAAACCUACCCUACCUUUAAAUGCAUACAUGUCAAUAUACAUGGAUUUUUCACAUAUGGUCUGUCAUUCCUCGCAUUAUAUUUGUCUUGCAGUCAUCUGUCAUCCGAGUCUACACAUAUGCAUUUUAAACGGAAUAUUCAACGGAUUGCUAAUGGAAGAUAAAGUAGUAACGGGGGUACCAGUUUGGCUUUUUCUUUAGACGAAAAUUAGCUUAGGACUAAUGUGUCAUGGGUACCAAGAAUAGGACAAUACUAAUUUAGAUUAUUUUGUGAGAUGAAAAUUAAUUGGAAAUACAUCAAUUAUGGGGUAUAAGUUUUUAGAUUUUACAGGGUAUCAACCUAUCUUAAACGUACAACUUUUUUUUUUUAAUUUUGCCACCCACUACUAAAAUAUGUUUUUUGUGCCCGCCCGCCUUACAUCAACCCUUCUUCCGAAAUUUUUAACUUGCUAAAAAUAAUUAAUUCCGACCUCUACAGGUCUAAAGCAACUUCUUUAACAUGCCGCGCCAUCACGUCAAGAUCCGAGCAACGAAACGAAAACUCUUUCCACACUAAUCUAUUCAUAUAAACUAAUGUUAAAUUAGUUGUAUUUAAUUUUGAUCAAGGGACUUGUCGCUAGUAAGUUUGGGCUAUUUUAUAUUCUUAUGUAUGUUUAUAAUUUAUCACUUUAUUGGAAGAUCGGUUGGCUCCUGCAUUUUUAAAGUACGUUUGGCUUUAUUUAAAAAAAAUGAAAAAAAAAGGUAGAAAAUGCUACAUGCUUAAUAUGAAAUAGGUGCUCUUUUUUUUGGCAGAAAACGAACGAUUUGAUAAAUAUUUUUCUAAAAAUAAUCAUUUAAAUUAUUUCGAAUAAUUAGUAAUAAAAAAAUUUCAUUAUUGACAACAUCUUAUAUCUAAAUAUUUUCAUAAAUGAAAAAAAAAUAUUUUUCAUUAAUUCAUAUUUUGUAUGCAAAACAAGUUAUCAUAUUUUUAAAAAUCUUUUUCAAAUCAUUCAUUCUCUAUGAAAUAAAUGCAUCAGAAAAGUAAAGUCACAUAAAAAAAAGACAAAAUGAAGGUAAAAAGAAGAAAAUUUUAAACUUCUAAUAAGCACAAAGUCGAGAUGGUCGGUGAAAGUGAAAACUGCUGAGAAAAUAGAGUAGAGGUAAAUUUUGUUAUUCAAUCCACUGUUGACGUAGAAAAAUUCUGUACACGUCCACCGUUAGACAAGUGAUGUGAAUUUUUUCACAUAUCAACCAUCGGUAAAUAUAAAAAUUAUUUUUUACAAUGAUAGUAAACCCAAUUAAAAUUCUAAAUUUUAUUGUUUUAUUCCCAAUAUAAACAAAUCUUUUUUUUUAAAUCAAAUAAUAAUUUGAGUGGGGGAGACCAUCAAUAAUACUAAUAUAGAAAGCAUCACAGUUCCCCAAGGACGCUGCCGGCGGUACCUGUAACCGAUGGAAAUAGCGACGACAUGGGCCCGAGUCACCAUCGUGGAGAGAAUAUCGUUCACGAUCGUAUCGAACGGCGACCCCGCGCAGAACCCGCCGCCGUGGUAGUGGACGAGGAGAGGCAGUUUCCUGUCCGGGCCAUCGAUCUUUGGGACGAAGAUGCGGGCUGACACGCCGGUCUUGGAAGAGACCACGACGUCCUUGGACUCGACCCCUGUCGAUGGAUCGAGCCCUGCCGGGACAGGGUGGAUGCGAUCGAGCAGCUUGUAUCGCUCCACGCGUCCGUCCCUGUAGACUCUAAAGAGGGGACGGAAAUCGCGAGCUACCUCCGAAGCGCCUGAGUUCAUUGUUUUCGAGUUUGUGUGGGUUGCGAGAACGGUGUAAAAAUGAGAGAGAGGGAGAGAGGGAGGGAGGGAGAUGAUCAAGAGGAAGUUUUCAUGCGGUGGCACAGUGACUAAGUGGUGCUGGUAUAACAUAUACUUAGUGUCAUGUUAACCCUAACAAAAAUCUGAAAAAAUAAAUAAAUAAACAACUGAAAAAACAUCUACUUGGUGUCGUGUUAGCCUUAACAAAAAUCUGAAAAAAUAAAUAAAUAAACAACUGAACAAAUCGCAAAGGACAAAGACCCUAUUAGAGAUAUUUAGGUAUGUUAGCCUUAACAAAAAUCUGAAAUAAAUAAAUAAAUAAACAACUGAACAAAUAGAUAUUUAGGUAUGUUUGCCCUGUAAGCCUCUUACAGAGCAUGAGAGUCUGAGAGUGAGUAUAGAGUAAGUAUAGAAUAGGGUUGACUAAAAAAAAAUUUAUGCAUUAAUUUUUUAUUUAUUAAACAGUGCUUCAAUCCUUUACUCUCCCAAAUCAAAUCACCUAACCCAAAAAAAAAAAAAAAAUCAAAUCACCUCACGAUCCAAUCAAAAGCCAACUGUCCACGUCAAGAUUGAGGAAUUUAUGGAGAAUAAAAAUUCCAUAUUUUAGUAACUUGUAAUGAAAUGCACAAGGUUUAAUGGUUUUGUCAGAUCUCCCACCUUAUUUUUACAUUAUCUUCUCAGAAAAAGAUUGCUCAGGACGGAGGAGAUGCCGAGGCGACAGUCCCGCGAAUUCUUUAAUCGGCAAAGGCUAAUGCCACGUAAUAAUGCAUUAAAUAUUUGAAUAAAGAGAGUCAUUCCCAUGUAUCAAUACGAUAAAUAAUGCAAAAUACUAAAGUAACGGGGACAAGAGGGCCACAUGUUGUGAUUGAGAGAAAAAGCUGCUACCCGGCAACAACUUGCGUAAUUUAAUUAAUUUCAAUUUUUCAUGCUUAAUUGUUUAUUUUUGCGGUGUUUUAUUUUAUACAAAUAUUGUGUCUACAGUCUCAGUUUUUGCUGGACAAUACGUGAUGGUUUCACAAACAUAUUUUAUAUAUCGAAAGGAUAAACUUCAAUUCAUGGCCGACAUGCCACAGUUGCUGUCAAUAACAACUGUUGUGCGCUGCUGUGCUAGCAUUGUUUAUUAAUAAUUGAACAAAGAAACUCCCAAACUAGAAGGAGACCCCGGUAUUAUUUUCAUUACACAGCACAACUGAGUAGUCCUGCAAAUCCCAUGACUUCUUCUGAAAUAGCCCAUGAUUUCUCUCCACACCUUCGAGUCUACAAAGAUGGCCGAGUGGAACGACUCGAGGGCACGGCCACCAUCCCUCCAUCGUUCGACCAGAACACCGGUGUCCUGUCCAAGGACGUCAUCAUCUCGGCCUCGACACCAUGCCUCUUUGCUAGGGUUUACAUCCCAACAGAAAACACCAUCAACAAUCACUGCGGUGCAAAAAGAAGAAAACUCCCACUUCUUGUUUACUUCCAUGGAGGCGCCUUUUGCUUGGAAACUCCAUUCUCUCCCAUGUACCAUAACUACCUGAACUCCUUGGUGUCAGAGGCCAAUGUGGUCGCCGUGUCCGUUCACUAUAGGAGAGCACUGGAGCAUCCACUACCGGUGGCCUACGACGAUUCAUGGACCGCACUUGAAUGGGUGUCAUCGCAUUUGGGUGGUGAUGGUCCUGAUGAGUGGCUGAGUGCGUACGCGGACUUGAGGAAGGUGUACGUGGCCGGAGACAGUGCCGGAGGUAACAUAGCGCACCAAAUGGGGCUGCGAUUUGGUGAGUUAGUACCAACUAGUCGUACAUAGAUCUCUAUUUGCAAGGUACUUCCCUCGGUGUUUUAAUCAAUCAUACCUGCUGACCACCUCAUUUAUAAACAUCAAUGGUUGAGAUUGAUCGAGAAACCAUGGAUCAUAAGGAUUGCCAUUUGAUGCCUCUAUCGAUCUCAUAUUUGAUGUCUGUAAUAAAUGAGCCGUUGAUCAUCGAUUAAGAUUGAUUGCACCACCGGAGGGAGUACCUUUACAUCCUUCAAAUUAUUAAUGAUCCUGCCUUGGCUUGGAUACGUGAUUGAAGUAGCCUGUUUAAAAACAUUCUUAUACCUCAAUGUUCAUUAAGGCUUUUUAUAUAGAUAGAAAAUUAGAGUACACAUCAUCAAUGUAAGAGAUAAGGAUAUCGUAAGUACUAUAACUUUUUUAUGGCACUUAUUUGAGUGUCAUAACUUUUAUUUAUUUAUUUAUAAUAAGCAUUUGAGUGUUAUAAUUUUUUUAAAAUGUUUACUACAAUGUUAUGUAAUGUCGAAUUUCUAAAACUUAGGUGAAUAUUUUUAAAAAGUUAUAACAAUUAAGUGAUCAUAUAGUAAGUUAUGAUACUUAAGUAAGAUUUAGAUAAAAAUGAUAAUACUCCCCAUAAGUGUUAAGAAAAUUUAAGGCAUGUAGUCUUAUUCACUCUUUGAUUCACGAGGCGCGCCAAAUUUAAUACAUUCAGGAGUUAAAUACCUCCUUUUGACUGUAGGGAAAUGACAAUGUCUUGGUUGGCGUGGCUUAUCAAAAUAACAACCGUACGCCGCAAACUGCUUUAUCUAAAUUUCUUCGUGAAGUGAAUUUAAAAAAGAAUUUUUCCCACUUUGGUUCCAGAUUUUGGGUACCCCUCUCUCUCUCUCUCUCUCUCUCUCUCUCUCUCUCUCUCUCUCUCUCCCUCCCUCCGGGCGAAAAAAAAAAAAAUCUAAAAAAAAAGGGCGACAGAGCAAGUGCUUGGAUUGCCAUGUGCCGCGUGCUCCCCCCAAAAUACAAUAUUUCCUUGUGCGGGGGAUCUCCCACCCUCUGAAAUANNNNNNNNNNNNNNNNNNNNNNNNNNNNNNNNNNNNNNNNNNNNNNNNNNNNNNNNNNNNNNNNNNNNNNNNNNNNNNNNNNNNNNNNNNNNNNNNNNNNUAAAAAAUAAUUCCUUAUUUUCCCAACCCUCACAUACAAGAUGGUCCUGCCCUUUUCGCGGCCUCCCAAAAAAACAAAACUUUUUAACUUGGGGUGCUCUUCCCCCCCCCCCGCCCAAUAAUGUCAGAGUAUUUGGGUUGGAAAGAGAAUAUACCCCCCCCCCCCCCCCCCCCCCCCCCCCCCACCAACCCCACCCAAAAAAAAAAGAAAAAAAGAAAUACAAGCAUUGCCAUGUGCCUAGUUGCAGCCUGCAUGAAGUCAGGAGUAGUUCUUUGCGUAUUUAAAACGAAAUAAUGACAUAAAUUAUUCAUUUGUGAUGUGAUUCUUCGAUUUUUAAUUUAUUUUUCAAUAUAAUCCUUAAAUUUUAGCCUAAUAUACAAUGUCAUCCAUAAAUAUUUAAUUUGUUCAAUGUGGUCCUAGACUUUUCGUACAUAUUCAUUUUAGUCAUCGAAUUAUAUGAAAAAUACUCAAUGUGAGAUAAUAUUGGGCAUUUUCAUAUAAUCCAAUGAGUAGAUUGAACAUGUACCAAAAGUAUAGGAACAAAUUAAAAGUUUAGGGACAUCAUUAUAUAUUAAACUAGAGUUUAAGAACCACAGUAAAUAAAUUAACGAAUCACAUUAUAUAUUGAGUCAAAAAUCAAGAAUCAAGAGUUCAAAAACCAUAGUGAACAAAUUAAAAAUUCAUAAAUCACAUUACAUAUUGAGUUAAAUUUCAUAAAUCAUUUAUGUCGUAUCUAUUUAAAAAUGGUAAAAUAAUUGAAUAUGUCAAAGAGGAAAUCAAUAAUAGUUUCCUUUUCUUUUUAGGUAAAUGGAUGGUUCUCGAAUGUAAAAGGUUGUGGCUUCUUGUUCUCAGUAGUUUAAUGAUUUCGGCCUUUUAAAAAGUCAUUGGUAAGAAAGAUAUUCAAACUUCUACGUAAACUAAAAGUGGAGAUAAAGAAAGGAUAUGCACUUUUAAAGGAUGGGUAUGGAUACAGACGUAAAUAAUUUACCUUCAAUGACACGAUACUAAUUAAUACUCAAAGUUGAGGGAAAAAGAAUAUAUGAUAGAGAUAUUGAGAGAAAAUAUGGUCCCAGAGUUGCAAGUCAGAAAAGUGGAUCAAAGUUAAAUUCUUACUUCUUUUUUUCCAGAUUAGUUAUUUAUUUCAAAAUAUGCAUUUAAAUCAUAAAACUACUCCUUUAGAAUGUUCCAAGUACAUAUAAUUCAUUGGAAAAAUAGGGGGCCAAAAGUAAUACGAAAGCUGCUGGCAAUAGAUGAAUAUAGAUAGAUCAAUAUAGAAGAUAGUUGAUGAAUCCAAGUGCUGUGAAAUAAGUUAGAUUUGCAUGUGAUUUUAGGUGGGGGAGAUAUGUUAGACCAAUUGCUUGUGGCUAACUAACCCCUACUAUUGUUACCUAGUAUACUAUGUAUUUUAUUUAUUUAUUGAAACCUAGUAUACUAUGUCGAAUAAAUGCUUAUAUGUAUAUCCCACGAAAAUGAGCUAGACCUAUAUAUAAAUUUAUCCACAUCUUACCGUUUUUUUUUUUGUCUAACACUUCUUACCUAAACUGGCACGAUUUUUUUUUGGGCAAAUAUCACCAAAAAAAAAAAAAAACUCAAAUUAUACCCACUGUGACACACAUACUCAUAGUCGCCGAAAACUCUGAACUUGUACACUAUAAUACAAAUGCCAGACUUAUAUGUGAUAUAUACCUUGGAUUCCAGUUCCGUCCAAGUAUAUUUGUCACAAUGAUAUAAAUCAUGGGUUUUUUAUAAUACAAAUAAAAACGGGAGGGAUAUGGGCGUCACAGUGGGUAAAUCUAGGGUUUUUCAUUAUACAAAAAAAGUUCGGUGUAUUACCACCCAUGGCGGCGGCGUAGUGGUUGAGCGCUAGUUCCUUUCGUGAGAGGUUUAGUGUUCGAAUCCUUGCGUCGUCUACCUUGUUUGAAAGGAACUCACGACUUACCUACGAAGCAAGGAUGGUGGUGACUCUACUCCCUCCAGGGUUUACUCCAACUGCGAAGCGGCACACGAAGGUUCCUUGGGUUAUCAAAAAAAAGAGAGUUCGGUGUAUUUAUAUUGUAGUCAGCAUAGUUUAAAGUUUUUGUAAUAUUAAUAUAUUUCUUUAAUAGAUUGCUCACUGAAAUCUAAGUUUGAGGUUUUUUGUAAUAUUAAUAUAUUUCUUUAACAGGUUGUGCACUGAAAUCUAAGACUUCAGACUGGGUUGAAGGAAUUGACCUUAGAGGCAUCAUCCUAGUUCAACCAUUUUUCAUGGGCAAUGAACUAAUUGGUAACGAGAGAACUGACCAGGCGACCCGGUCCUUGCUUGUCAGGCUGUGGCACCUAGCAUGCCCGUCGGCCAAGGACGGGUGCGACGACCCGUGGAUCAACCCAGAAAAGGAUCUGAGGCUCUCGAGGAUGGGUUGCGCUCGGGUCCUCAUCUUCAUCGCGGAGAGAGAGGUGCAGAGGGAGCGAGAGUGGCUUUACCGGGACUCGCUGGUGAAGAGCGGAUGGGAAGGGACCGUGGAGGUCAUGGAGGCGAAAGGAGAGGGUCACCAGUUUCAUUUGUUCCAUCCAACGAGCGACGAUGCAGUGAGUCUGAUGAGGCGAUUCGUUUCUUUCCUGAACGAGAACGAGAUCAGUCAGGGUGACGGUGAUUGCUCUUCUUUUUCCUCUUCGCUUAAUAUGGUGACUGCUUAUGGUGUUGAAUAAAGUCAUAAACAAGGCGUAUCUCUAGAUUUUCAUUGGACAUUUAUAAUUAUUUCUAUAAUGAUUAUGGUAGAUGCUUUUGAUUUCGGGGACUUAUUAUUAUUUGUGAUAUAAAAGAACAGAAUGAAUAAAGGGAAAGUAUCUCGAAUAUAUUCUCCAAUAUUUAUCUCUAUUGACUUUUUUUUUUCUCUCACUAGUUCUAAAUUUGUACGAAAUUAAUAAGGGACAAAAUAUUUGAAAUAUGUAAAUAUCAUUUUGAAACAUUUCGAUUUUUAGCUCUCAUUGAUUAUAUAGUUGAAAAAAUAAAAUUGCAUAGUUAUAAAUAAUUUUUUAUAUAUACAUAGUUUAUUAAGAAAUUAAAAAACAAGUUAGAAAGAAAUAUAUCUUUUUAGAUUAAUUAUAAUCAUAAUUUUGAAGUAUAAAUUUUCUAACUUAUUUCAACAUAUAAAUAAGUAACCAAUUUUUCUAUUAAAUUUAGAUUAAUAUUAGAAUAAUUUGAAGGAUAGCACAUCUUGUUGACUUCAUUUACUCAAUAUUUCAUCAAGUAUAAAUAUUCAACUGAUUGGAAACAUGCAUCUGACAUCUAAUAAAUUUUAUGUCCUUCACUUAAAAUCCACUUACUUUAAUCAUAUUUUAUAUCCUUUAAAGAAAAUCUGUUCGGUAGAAAACUAAAAUGAACUUAACUUUUUGUUCCAAAGUCCACGUAAUUCCAAUUGAUUCCAAAAAGAAAAGGGAAAAAAAAAAAAAAGAUGACAGAGAAGUUCGUGAGAUUAAAAGUCUACCAAAUUAACGUGAUGCAAUUAUAUAAGGCUAUCGACUGGCUUAACCCUGAACACAUUAAUGAUUAAACAAAUACUAAGACACUAAUGUUAAUUUUCCGCAUGUUUGAAUUAAGUGGUAGGAAAAAAUGUUUGGUUAGAUGACAAAUAUUACUUUUCCCCUUCACGAGUGAUCGGUUUGUUAUCCCACUUUUCCGAUAUCAAGCUAGCCCAUUGUUUCGUAGAGGCUAAUUACAUCAUAACUAGGGUAGCUAAGGCUCAAACGAAAAAUGUUUUUCAGAACUGGUUUUCCUUUCUUUCCUCAAGCCCUUUCGACUCUUUAUGUAACAAAGCCUCGGCUCCUCUGGUUUUCCCGAGAAAUGAAUAAACACUUUUCGAGCAAAGAAAUGGCAUUUGCAUGUAGAUAGUAUUUAACAUAGAUACGUACUAGGGAUAUACUAAAAAAAAAGCUAUUCAAACNNNNNNNNNNNNNNNNNNNNNNNNNNNNNNNNNNNNNNNNNNNNNNNNNNNNNNNNNNNNNNNNNNNNNNNNNNNNNNNNNNNNNNNNNNNNNNNNNNNNAGUAGAAAACUCAAGAACCUGUGGAUCCCCACUAAAGCAAGCUCAUCUUAGAGAAGAAAGGCGGUACAAAGCGCCACUACAUUAUGAAAAGAAUUACUAUAAUGAAAAAUCUCAAAUUAAUAUAUUCGUGAUAAAUUUAUCCUAAACUUAUUUUUACAUCACCGAAAACUUGUGACAUACAUGCCCUUCAUUAAUUUCUAUAAAAUUUUGUUGUAAAACUAUUUAGUUGGAUAACAUGUAACAAUAACUCGAUUAACAUGGCCAAUUCACGUGGAAAUCCUUAUUAGUUUGAGGUAAACUUGUCACAAAUAUAUCAAUUUUGAGUAGUUUAGAAUAAAUUUAUCAUAACGUAUUUGCUUGAAAAUUUUAAUGAUCCAAAAAUUAAUUUGAAGUAAAUUUGUUAUAUGCGUAUUAAUUUAGGAUUUUUCAUACCAUUAAUCUUUAUUAAAAUCUUAGGGAAAUGGACCUCAAAUCCAACAAAAAUGAGACAUGAAUUUUGUCAAAAGGUGUUGUGAACGACUAACCUUGUGUCACGGGUCAGUUGAUUACAAACAAUCAAACACCCGUACGGCCUAAGGAUUUUACUCCCAAGUCAGCCUUACACACACGCACGAACACAAGGGUAUGAGUAAAGUGGGCGAGUGUAUUUGCUAUGAACGACCUAAACACAAUGAGGGGGAGGGACCCCUAUUUAUACAAGUUCAAGUCUUAUCUCAUUAGUUGAUCUUCCCUCCGAUCCAAUCUUCCCUUUGAUCCAACGGCUGUGUUUGAACAUGUAUCAUCAUUACAAGUCUAUACAUUAGGCCACUCAAUGGAUUUAGACCUUGGGAAAGCCCAAAGUGUGUGUCAGAAGUAAGGUCAGGGCCAACAGGGCAGGGCCAGCAGGGCUGCUUGACAUGAAGUAGGUGAAUGGUCAUGAGCUUUUGUCCAUAUUGUUCAUGGGCCGAUCGGGCAUUGAUCAAGGAUCGUUCAUGGAUUAGUCGUGGACUACUUGUGGGCUACCCUUCGUGCGUGACACGACCCCAUCAGUCGAUCUUGGAUUAUGCUUCGUCUGUGGGCCAUGUCACUAAACUCUCUUCUAUCCUCCCCUCCCCCACCCCUAGAAAAAAAAAAAAGGACGUUCCAUUGCGUGUGAGAGACUAGUGAAGGUGAGUCAACUUCCACAAUCAUAGUCUUUGACAGAUUUCAUUACUUGGUCAACGACUUAGUAAUUGGUCAACAUUACUAGCAUCUCCAGCGACUUCUUCGAUUACGCUGCAUAAACCUAUGCUACACAAGCAUUAGCACAAGUUCACAGGCGAAUUCUCUUACCUAAAGUGAUUAGAUCCAUGGGCCACUGAUCAACUACAACGAAAUAAAUUUUGGGAACUGUGUAGAAAUGAUCAAUUAUGAGUUUCAUUGGGAUGAGUUGAAAUUGGGGGUGUGCAACCAAACCGAGUAUACUGGGUUCCUAGACCAGCCCACUCAGAAAACAACGUCGGGAACUAGUUCCCGUUGAAAUUGAUUCGGGAGCCGGUUCCCAAAAUUCAAAACCAGUUCAAAUCGGUCCGGGAGCAGGUUCUGAGUGAUUACCCACCUGGAAACCAGUUUCCGGACUGAUUUUGGAGCUGGUUCAUGGAUCGGUUUUGGAAGUAGAGGUCCAAAACCUUUUUUUUUUCUUUCAAUUCCUAUUCUUACUUCUGCAAUCAGACGAUAUAUUUCCUUUUGGCUCUCUCAAACAUGCACGGCACUCCUCCUUUGUCAUUCCUCUUCCUCACUUGCUUCCCUCCCUCACCGGCUCCCUCUCGCACUAUCUGAUGGACGGACGAUGUUCGCUGCCGCCAAUUCUUGUGUGUCACAUGGAUUGGCUCGCCUAAUUUCUCUUUUGUAGGAGGAGUUAUGAUUACAUAAAUGAGUAGCUUCAUAUAGUAGUUGUGAGAAUAAGACUAAUAUUAGACUCAUGUUUGUUGCUAAUUCUUUGCCUUAUGAUUUUAUUUAUUAUAAUUAGCCAUGUGGAUCUUUAAUUUUUCAUUUAAUCAAAAAGUUCAUGUAUUUAUUUAUUUUAAGUGCUUAAUGUAUUUAUUUAUUGCGUAUUAAUAUAAAAUUCAAAAUCAUAUAGGAUAUCAGGAGAUUGUAAAACAGGUUCUAGUGAAAACAGGGUCGACCCUAGAAUUGGAUUGGAAAAACAGGGUGGGUCAGGUACAAGGUACUAUAUAAACAAGGUCGGGUAUAGGGUCCAAUACAAACAUGGUCGGAUAUAAGAUCCAUAAAAGGGGAAUUGGUUAUAAUAGGGUUGGGUACAGGAUCCAGGUCUAAACCCUACCCACCUUGGACCCGAUCACCCCUAGUUGAAACGACGCAAAAAGAGAGAGAACACAAUGUCCUUUUGUUUCUUUCGUUGACUCCGUCUCUUGAUAAAAAUAAAUCAAAUUUAUCGCUAUCUAUCAAUUGCCUAAUCAAUUGCACUACUUUUGACUUUGAAUAUAAAUUUUAAUGAUGCUCAUAUUUGUGCUAGAACAAGCAAAAAAACAUAGGGGCAAUAUGAAAAUCACCUCUCUCAAAUUAUAUUAACAUGUAUUUUGAUAUUUCCAUUAUUAAGCAGACUUAACAAGAAGAAAUGUUUUUUUUAAAUAAAAAAAAAACGCAUAAAAACAGGCUUCCAUGAUUCAUGUGGAAAGUCAGUCACCGAUACUUAAAAGGCUAUUUUCCUAUUAAUCCUUGGUGAUGAAAUCAACCAUCUUCUUGAUUAGUUGCUCAGCCCUCUCGUUCUUGCUAAAUGCAUGAAAGCAAUGUCCCUCGUCCUUGGCCUCCUCAAGCUCCACUUUCCCCUCCCACUCGCUUCCGCACAGCGUCUCAUAGUACUUCACUCCCGUAUUCCUCAGCGAAUCCUUCUCCGCCACGCACACCAGCACCUUCUCGCACGCCAUCUUUGGUAGGUCCGGGUCGACCGCUGGGUUCAGCCUUGGGUCGUCGUCGAGCCUGGAGCUCGUCGGGCACAUGAACUUGUACAUCUCGUCCAUCUCUGUGCCACCAAAGAAUGGGUGGACUAUCAACACGCCCUUGAUCCUGACCCCCGUCAAU
rnacentral:lncRNA from 1 species